GCUUUUGCAUGUCUUUUAUUCAGCUUUCAGAUCCAGUUUUAACUGGGUUAUAAUUCAUUGCCACUGUUUAUGUUUUUCAUCAGUUCAAUUGGGGGUUUCUUCUCUCUCUAUUUAUAUUUAGCUAAGAAUUGAUGCUUGUUCAACUGGGAUCUAUCCAGAGAAACAUAAUCCACUUCAAGAAUUUUCUGAAAAGGGAAUCUAAUGCAAGGAAUUAAUUGCAAAGAUGAUGCAAUAUCUGAGAACGAUAGGAUUUGACAGUUUGGUCUACAUUUCAAGGCUGGUUAGAUGGGAGGUAUGUCCUGGUAUAUUAGUUAAUUUAGGUAUAUCUUACUGAUUUACAUUGCAUGAUUUAUCAGAUGCUAUUGACUCAUUCAAGUAAAUACAUUCCUUUUGCUCAUACUAGUAAUUGGGUCAGUCAUGCUCUUGAAGGAGGCAUACUGGGAGCCAUACAUUACCAGAGGCAGAGGAUUCAAUGGAUGUUUUCUGUUUUCUCUUCUUCGUGCUCUGUAAUUGAGACACAGAACAAAGGUAAUCUUUGCUUAGCGUAAUAAUGGAGAGUGACUAGACCAACAAAAGAUAUGUCAGAAUCAUUUGCAAGGGUAAAACUUACGAGUGUAUUUGUGAACCUGCUUGAACGCUCCAAUGCACAUGUGUCUGUACACAAUUUCUGGCCUAUUAACAUUUCCUAAUAUUUUAAGCCUCUGAAAUUAUUGUUAUAAUAUUUG
rnacentral:lncRNA from 10 species